GGAUGAAGAACGUAGCGAAAUGCGAUAAGUAAUGUGAAUUGCAGAAUUCAGUGAAUCAUCGAAUCUUUGAACGCACAUUGCGCCCGCCAGUAUUCUGGCGGGCAUGCCUGUUCGAGCGUCAUUUCAACCAUCAAGCCCCCGGCUUGUGUUGGGGACCUGCGGCUGCCGCAGGCCCUGAAAAGCAGUGGCGGGCUCGCUGUCACACCGAGCGUAGUAGCAUACAUCUCGCUCUGGGCGUGCUGCGGGUUCCGGCCGUUAAACCACCUUCAUAACCCAAGGUUGACCUCGGAUCAGGUAGGAAGACCCGCUGAACUUAAGCAUAUCAAUAAGCGGAGGA
rnacentral:misc_RNA from 1 species